rnacentral:rRNA from 1 species
CCUACGGGUGGCAGCAGUGGGGAAUAUUGCACAAUGGGGGAAACCCUGAUGCAGCGACGCCGCGUGAGCGAGGAAGUAUUUCGGUAUGUAAAGCUCUAUCAGCAGGGACGAAAAAAGACGGUACCUGACCAAGAAGCCCCGGCUAACUACGUGCCAGCAGCCGCGGUAAUACGUAGGGGGCAAGCGUUAUCCGGAAUUACUGGGUGUAAAGGGAGCGUAGACGGUUAAGUAAGUCUGGAGUGAAAGGCCGGGGCCCAACCCCGGGACUGCUCUGGAAACUAUUGAACUUGAGUGCAGGAGAGGUAAGCGGAAUUCCUAGUGUAGCGGUGAAAUGCGUAGAGAUUAGGAGGAACACCAGUGGCGAAGGCGGCUUACUGGACUGUAACUGACGUUGAGGCUCAAAAGCGUGGGGAGCAAACAGGAUUAGAUACCCUUGUAGUC